rnacentral:misc_RNA from 1 species
GUGAAUCAUCGAAUCUUUGAACGCACCUUGCGCCUCUUGGUAUUCCGAGAGGCAUGCCUGUUUGAGUGUCUUAUAAACUCAAUCACCAUGGGUUCCUUUUGACCCAUUGGCUGACUUGGAUCUGGGCGUCUGCCGGUCACACGGCUCGCCUUAAAGACGUUAGUGGGACCUGCUGCCUACGGCCUGACGUGAUAAGUUUCGUCUGACGGUGGUGGCUCACGCCUGCUCACAAACCUGCCCUAGGGCAAUCUACUUUGUGCUAGACCUCAAAUCAGGUAGGACUACCCGCUGAACUUAAGC